rnacentral:rRNA from 1 species
UACGUAGGGUGCAAGCGUUGUCCGGAAUUAUUGGGCGUAAAGAGCUCGUAGGCGGUUUGUCGCGUCUGCUGUGAAAACGCGAGGCUCAACCUCGCGCCUGCAGUGGGUACGGGCAGACUAGAGUGCGGUAGGGGAGAUUGGAAUUCCUGGUGUAGCGGUGGAAUGCGCAGAUAUCAGGAGGAACACCGAGUGGCGAAGGCAGAUCUCUGGGCCGUAACUGACGCUGAGGUGCGAAAGCGUGGGGAGCAAACAGG